GGAUCAUUGUCGAAACCUGGAAAGGCAAAACGACCCGCGAAUAUGUGGCAAAUAACGUGGGCGGCAGGCCUCCGGGCUCGUCGCCCAAAGUCCCCGGCCAGGGUUGUGGGGCAACCCCAACUCCUCUGUCGCGGCACGAACAACAAACCCCGGCGCAAAUCGCGCCAAGGAAUCGAAAGAAAGAGAUGCGCACUCCUCGUUAUGUCCCAAAGAUGGUGCCUUGGAGGUGUUGCGUCGUCGUCGUUAUCACAUAUCUAAAACGACUCUCGGCAACGGAUAUCUCGGCUCUCGCAUCGAUGAAGAACGUAGCGAAAUGCGAUACUUGGUGUGAAUUGCAGAAUCCCGUGAACCAUCGAGUUUUUGAACGCAAGUUGCGCCCGAAGCCGUCAGGCCGAGGGCACGCUUGCCUGGGUGUCACGCAACGUCGCUAAGCAUUCUCCGUCACCCUUUAUCGGGAACGAUGAUGAGGAUUGGCGGAUAUUGGCCUCCCGUUGGCACUCGCACGCGGUUGGCCCAAAGGAAAGCCCCGGGCGCGGCAGCCACGGCACGCGGUGGUUGGCAGCAUGCGCUCCAGGAACACCGUCGUGGGCAAGCCGCGUAGACGGGGCGGUGUAGACCCCCGACGCAGAGCGUCUUCGCAACGCGACCCC
rnacentral:rRNA from 1 species